GUGGGGAAUAUUGGACAAUGGGCGAAAGCCUGAUCCAGCCAUGCCGCGUGUGUGAAGAAGGUCUUCGGAUUGUAAAGCACUUUAAGUUGGGAGGAAGGGCAGUAAGUUAAUACCUUGCUGUUUUGACGUUACCGACAGAAUAAGCACCGGCUAACUUCGUGCCAGCAGCCGCGGUAAUACAGAGGGUGCAAGCGUUAAUCGGAUUUACUGGGCGUAAAGCGCGCGUAGGUGGUUUUGUAAGUUGGAGGUGAAAUCCCCGGGCUCAACCUGGGAACUGCCUCCAAAACUGCAUGACUAGAGUACGGUAGAGGGUAGUGGAAUUUCCUGUGUAGCGGUGAAAUGCGUAGAUAUAGGAAGGAACACCAGUGGCGAAGGCGACUACCUGGACUGAUACUGACACUGAGGUGCGAAAGCGUGGGGAGCAAACAGGAUUAGAAACCCGGGUAGUCC
rnacentral:rRNA from 1 species